ACUCCUACGGGAGGCAGCAGUGGGGAAUAUUGCACAAUGGGCAGCAAGCCUGAUGCAGCCAUGCCGCGUGUGUGAAGAAGGCCUUCGGGUUGUAAAGCACUUUCAGUCGUGAGGAAGGUAGUGUAGUUAAUAGCGCAUUUAUUGAUCGUUAGCGACAGAAGAAGCACCGGCUAACUCCGUGCCAGCAGCCGCGGUAAUACGGAGGGUGCGAGCGUUAAUCGGAAUUACUGGGCGUAAAGCGCAUGCAGGUGGCUUUGUUAAGUCAGAUGUGAAAGCCCGGGGCUCAACCUCGGAAUU
rnacentral:rRNA from 1 species